GACGAACGCUGGCGGCGUGCCUAAUACAUGCAAGUAGAACGCUGAAGGAGGAGCUUGCUUCUCUGGAUGAGUUGCGAACGGGUGAGUAACGCGUAGGUAACCUGCCUGGUAGCGGGGGAUAACUAUUGGAAACGAUAGCUAAUACCGCAUAAUAGUAGAUGUUGCAUGACAUUUGCUUAAAAGGUGCAAUUGCAUCACUACCAGAUGGACCUGCGUUGUAUUAGCUAGUUGGUGGGGUAACGGCUCACCAACGCGACGAUACAUAGCCGACCUGAGAGGGUGAUCGGCCACACUGGGACUGAGACACGGCCCAGACUCCUACGGGAGGCAGCAGUAGGGAAUCUUCGGCAAUGGACGGAAGUCUGACCGAGCAACGCCGCGUGAGUGAAGAAGGUUUUCGGAUCGUAAAGCUCUGUUGUAAGAGAAGAACGAGUGUGAGAGUGGAAAGUUCACACUGUGACGGUAUCUUACCAGAAAGGGACGGCUAACUACGUG
rnacentral:rRNA from 1 species